AAAGUCCGCCAGACAGUCGCCGCUUGGUUUAUCCAAGGGGAGGAAAGUCCGGGCUCCAUAGGGUAAGGUGCCAGGUAACGCCUGGGGGGUGUGAACCCACGGCCAGUGCAACAGAGAGCAGACCGCCAACCCCGCUUUGCGGGCGGUAAGGGUGAAAGGGUGCGGUAAGAGCGCACCGCGUUGAUGGCAACAUCCAACGGCAUGGUAAACCCCACCUGGAGCAAGACCAAAUAGGGUUCCUAUAGGCGUGACCCGCGCUGGAACCGGGUAGGUCGCUUGAGAUUUGUGGUGACGCAGGUCCUAGAUGAAUGGCUGUCCACGACAGAACCCGGCUUACGGCGGGCUUUCAAU
rnacentral:RNase_P_RNA from 1 species